CUUUUGUCUCUGUAACCAAGCAUCGAUCUUUCCCAACUCCAUUGAGCUUAUUUCAAGCAUUAACUCUUCGCUAAAUUCCACUUUUUUAAGGCAAUUCUUUUUCCUCGCAAAAUAUCUUUCUUUUAUAGUUUACAUUUUAAUUAUAGUUUAUUUAAAUGAUUUAUUUUAUUCUAAGUUUGAAAUUUAAAAUUGUAUAUCAAUUUAUAAUUUACAAUGGUACCAUGCAUCUUCCCCAAAUCCCCUGCAACAAAAUUUUGAGCUCAAAUUCAUCAAACAUACCUAUUUGCUGACGCUAUCCCAAUGUGCCCCCUUUAUUAGAAAAUCAAAUUAAACGUAAUUAAUUUAUUCAGCAUCCAAUCAUAUUGAAAAAUAGUGAAAGUUGAAUCACUGAACCAUUUAUAAUCCUUAUUAAUAGAAAAUAGAAAAUUUGAAUUACUAAAACUUUUAAAAAUAUAUAUCGUAGAAUGACAUAAAGGAGAACAACAAAUUACUCAAAUAACUGAAAAAUUAAACUCAAAUGAUAUGAAAAGUACAGUCAAAUCAUAUAAACCUAAGAGAAAAACAAAAAAAAAAUAUUAAUAGUAGUAGAAAUUAAAGUUACUCGUAGAACGAAGGAAGUCUUGUUUCUUGUGCUUAAUUUGUGUUGGUGAGAGAAGACCAAUUUAACAAAAAAAAAAAAAAAAGAAACAAUUCGAGUAUUGAAUAUUAUGUUUUCUUAUUGUUUGAAUUAGAGUAAUUCUAUUAAACCCAUCCAGUUUCUCUUUUAAAAAAAAAAAAGAAAAAAGAAACCCGAAAACAUUUUGUUCACGUGCAAAUCACGUGAUCCAUGACUAGUUUCACAAUAAGAGAUACAGUUAAAGUUAUUUUUUAGAGACAAGUGGUGUGUGAUGAUAUAUGUUAUAUUUUGGUAUGUGUUAUCCUCUGUCAUAUUCGACACUGACUAUUCUUUGGAGUCUUAUACCCUAUCAAUAUUUCGGCAAUCACAUUUGUUGGAUGUGUAAUCAUCAAGAAAAUCAGCCUACAGAUGAUUAGCCACAAUUGUAUUGACACAGCAAAAAUGAAUAAUUACUGCUGCAGAGGCUAUACUGCCUAU
rnacentral:lncRNA from 1 species